rnacentral:rRNA from 1 species
UACAGAGGGUGCAAGCGUUAAUCGGAAUUACUGGGCGUAAAGCGUGCGCAGGCGGUGAUGUAAGACAGGUGUGAAAUCCCCGGGCUUAACCUGGGAACUGCAUUUGUGACUGGCGAGCUAGAGUACGGAAGAGGCGAGUGGAAUUCCUGGUGUAGCGGUGAAUGCGCAGAUAUCAGGAGGAACACCAAUGGCGAAGGCAGCUCGCUGGGACGGUACUGACACUGAGGCGCGAAAGCGUGGGGAGC